rnacentral:rRNA from 1 species
AGGACGAACGCUGGCGGCGUGCUUAACACAUGCAAGUCGAACGAGGUGCUUGCACCUAGUGGCGAACGGGUGAGUAACACGUGAGCAACCUGCCCUUGGCUCUGGGAUAGCCUCCGGAAACGGGGAUUAAUACCGGACAUGACCUUCUUCCGCAUGGUUGAAGGUGGAAAGUUUUUCGGCCAGGGAGGGGCUCGCGGCCUAUCAGCUUGUUGGAGGGGUAACGGCCCACCAAGGCGACGACGGGUA